UACAGAGGGGGCAAGCGUUGUUCGGAAUUACUGGGCGUAAAGGGCGCGUAGGCGGCCUUCUAAGUCGAACGUGAAAUCCCCGGGCUCAACCCGGGAAUUGCGCUUGAGACUGGGCUGGCUUGAGUGCGGGAGAGGAUGGUGGAAUUCCCAGUGUAGAGGUGAAAUUCGUAGAUAUUGGGAAGAACACCGGUGGCGAAGGCGGCCAUCUGGACCGCAACUGACGCUGAGGCGCGAAAGCGUGGGGAGCAAACAGG
rnacentral:rRNA from 1 species